CUUCAGGGAGCCCAGCAGCAGCGGCCGGUCCUCGGUCCGGUCCCGGCCGUAGGUGGCGAGGAUGGCCUGGGCCUC
rfam:Streptomyces avermitilis MA-4680 = NBRC 14893 DNA, complete genome.